rnacentral:lncRNA from 1 species
UGUUUAUACUCAUAGUUCUGUUUUGUAAACGAUACGUAUAGUCGUGUAUAGAUACGUAUAAUCAAAUAUAUUCAUUCAACUGAACCCAUUUUUAUUUAUUGUUUUCACUGCCCAGUCAACAGAUUAUAGGUCCAGAUUACGAAAUAAACAAUAAACAAUUAAUAACAAUAAAUAAAGUAUAAUUAAAUUGAAAAAGCACGUGGGUUAAUUAUCCGGUCUUGAGCAAACGUGAAAUAACUCUAAUCGUGAUGAAAAAUGAAAUUUUUCGUAUUAAUAAGCUGAAAGAAUUGGAAAAUUGGAUCUCAUAGAAAUUUCAAGUGCGCGUUACUUUGAAAUUUUACGGUGCAUGGGAAAUAGAUAGAGAUGAAUCAGUUCUUCUUGUACGAGGAUGAUACGAUAAAUAGAGCAUGCGCUGCCUAGAUAAAACUCGAUAGUACAACUCCACGCAUAAUCGCUACAUCAGCGAACGAAAAACCAUUUUUGCAUAUUAUCAUUAACUGUGAAUCGGUUAAGGAUAUGUGGAAAAAGCUGAAGUCUGUUUACAACAAAAAUUUGAUACUAAUGCAUACUGUUGUAGCAAUGGUACAAUUACCAGAAAGAACUAGGUGAUGAUGUAUUAUUCACAUCAUAAAGCUCGAGAAUCUUGCACAUCAGCUGUAAACUCUGAUGCGUGGGAAUCAACUCAACUCAAAGAAAAAACUCUCACAAAUUUUAUUUCAAGACUCACCAUUGAGGAAACAAGAAUAAGAACCAAAGAAAGGACAGAAAACAUUGCCUUUACUGCUAAUAAACACCAAUGUAAAAAAAAUUUCAAAAAAGGCAACAUUAGAUCAGGAGUAUCUCAUUAUUGCUAUAAACUAGAACAUUGGAUCAAGGAAUGCAGAAACUGAAAAGCAGCAACAUCAAACGAAAAAUACACAGGAAAGAAAGGAAAGGCACUUGUUGAAGCUAUGUCUGCAAAAUAUAAUUUAGAAACAUCCAGUGAUGCACGGCAUAUGGAUUCGGGUGCGAUUGAGCACAUGUCAAAUCGUCGCGAAUGGUUCUCUUCAUAUAAAAAAUUCAACAGUAAAAAAUAUUAAGAUAGGCGAAAAUAUAUUCAAGCAAUUGGAUCAGAUAUCGACAUUCUUGCUUUUAAUAGAAAAGAUGGAUGCAACUCUUGACUACAACAAUACUCUGAUGACAAAAAAUAUACAUUCAUGAAGAAUGAAAAUAUUGUUGCAGUGGGGAAAUGGAAAGCACAAACGAAUGGUUCAUCAAAAUUUGGAUCAGAUGAAAAAAAUUCUAAGAUUCGAAAACAUUAUUUUUAAGGAUCAGAAGUUUUGCUGUGAUGAUUGCAUUCUAGCGAAAAUACACAGAUUAUUAUUCAAAAAAUGAUCAGAUUAUCAUUCAAAAAAUCUGAACGCAUUGGAAAACUCAUCCAUGCAGAUCUUUCAAUGUAAGAAAAUUUGCUUGGAGAAACUCGAUAUUUCUUAAUAAUGAAAGAUGAUUGUAAUCACUGGAAAAGUUAUAAUUUAAGCUAUAUUUA